rnacentral:lncRNA from 1 species
AAAAUUAUUGUUUUAAGAUUUAUUUAACGUUAUUGGAUUUAUUUUAUGUUGUAAGGAUUAUUUGAUUUUAAAACUUGUUUAAUCUUAUAAGUUUGAAAGUCCAAUAUUUCAUCUCUUUCAUCACUACCGUUUAAGGAUCACCCAUCGUCAGAUUUGAUCAGACACUUCCAUACAUCUCAUGUCGGAGAAAAAGUGAUGGUUCUAACUAUCUUUGAUUUAUAAAUUCCACCACAUGUUGAUCACAAGUAUGAUAUCAUUAUUAUU